AUCAGAUUUUGCUUCAAAAAUUUUGGACCUUUGUUACUAGAUACAUAAACAUCUGAGGUGUUUAUUGGAGCUCUUUUCCUAGAACUGAUAAUUGGAUUCAAGGUAUUCUGGAGAACAAGGAAACAGGCUGAGGAAGAAUAAGAGACUUGCUAGAGGAAGAAAACUUAGGCCCAGAAAGCUUAAUAUAUUACCCAAAGAGUUAGUCCACAUUGAACUGGGAGUUAAUCCUUGGCUGUCUGGCUGGAAAGCUUUUGCUCUGUAUCUUGGAUGAAUAAACUAAACCUUAGGGAGUUUUCCUAGAAGAAACCAUAUUACAACUCCUACAUGAGAAGCUAAAUUACAACACAAAGAUUGCUUGGUGAGCAUGUGAUCAAAACAGGGCAAGAUGAAGACUUUUAGAGGCCACAAGCAUUUUAGUGUGCCUCCCAACUUCCCUUAUGUUAUUCAAAAUAUAAACAAUAAAAUCUACAAAGUUGUGAAAGAAGUCCA
rnacentral:lncRNA from 1 species